GACUGCAGCCUCGCUCCGUGCCUUCUGCGCGCCUGGGAUCCCGGAGCCUGCCUAGGUUCUGUGCGCUCCCGCCCACGCCGGUGCCCGCCGCCCGCCUGCGCCCCAGGCAGGUCCCAGGCCUCCGGCUGCUCCCGGCCGAAGCCCCGAGUGCGAGAUCGAGCGUCCUGAGCGCCUGACCGCAGCCCUGGAUCGCCUGCGGCAGCGCGGCCUGGAACAGAGGUGUCUGCGGUUGUCAGCUCGCGAGGCCUCGGAAGAGGAGCUGGGCCUGGUGCACAGAGUACCUUUCACUGCGCGCGGCUGGCCGCAGGGGCUGGACUGCAGCUGGUGGACGCUGUGCUCACUGGAGCUGUGCAAAAUGGGCUUGCCCUGGUGAGGCCUCCCGGGCACCACAGCCAGAGGGCGGCUGCCAACGGGUUCUGCGUGUUCAACAACGUGGCCAUAGCAGCUGCACAUGCCAAGCAGAAACACGGGCUACACAGGAUCCUCGUCGUGGACUGGGAUGUGCACCAUGGCCAGGGGAUCCAGUAUCUCUUUGAGGAUGACCCCAGGGAGCUGUAGAGCUGUUGAGGGUCCUGACCUUUGACCUCUGGCUCUGGCUGGCUGUUGGCAGCGUCCUUUACUUCUCCUGGCACCGCUAUGAGCAUGGGCGCUUCUGGCCUUUCCUGCGUGAGUCAGAUGCAGACGCAGUGGGGCGGGGACAGGGCCUCGGCUUCACUGUCAACCUGCCCUGGAACCAGGUCGGGAUGGGAAACGCUGACUACGUGGCUGCCUUCCUGCACCUGCUGCUUCCACUGGCCUUUGAGGAUUUGACUCAGCCAUCGGGGACCCUGAGGUGAGGGCCUUGCCUUGCCAGGGAGGGCUUCUGGGGUCCUGGGGCCCAGGUCCCCCGUCACACAUGGCUCUGGUUCCAGGGGCAAAUGCAGGCCACGCCAGAGUGCUUCGCCCACCUCACACAGCUGCUGCAGGUGCUGGCCGGCGGCCGGGUCUGCGCCGUGCUGGAGGGCGGCUACCACCUGGAGUCACUGGCGGAGUCAGUGUGCAUGACAGUACAGACGCUGCUGGGUGACCCGGCCCCACCCCUGUCAGGGCCAAUGGUGCCAUGUCAGAGGUGCGAGGGGAGGUAGGGCGGGCAGGGCUGGGGUGUGAGACCAGGUGUCACGACUGUUGUGUCUCCCCCACAGUGCCCUAGAGUCCAUCCAGAGUGCCCGUGCUGCCCAGGCCCCGCACUGGAAGAGCCUCCAGCAGCAAGGUCAGUGUGGCCGGGUGCUAGGCUGCAGGAUCCCACCUCGGGCUCCCGUGCAGUGGCUAUGACUCCGAACUGUCCCUAGAUGUGACCGCUGUGCCGAUGAGCCCCAGCAGCCACUCCCCAGAGGGGAGGCCUCCACCUCUGCUGCCUGGGGGUCCAGUGUGUAAGGCAGCUGCAUCUGCACUGAGCUCCCUCCUGGACCAGCCGUGCCUCUGCCCCGCACCCUCUGUCCGCACCGCUGUUGCCCUGACAACGCCGGAUAUCACAUUGGUUCUGCCCCCUGACGUCAUCCAACAGGAAGCGUCAGCCCUGAGGGAGGAGACAGAAGCCUGGGCCAGGCCACACGAGUCCCUGGCCCGGGAGGAGGCCCUCACUGCACUUGGGAAGCUCCUGUACCUCUUAGAUGGGAUGCUGGAUGGGCAGGUGAACAGUGGUAUAGCAGCCACUCCAGCCUCUGCUGCAGCAGCCACCCUGGAUGUGGCUGUUCGGAGAGGCCUGUCCCACGGAGCCCAGAGGCUGCUGUGCGUGGCCCUGGGACAGCUGGACCGGCCUCCAGACCUCGCCCAUGACGGGAGGAGUCUGUGGCUGAACAUCAGGGGCAAGGAGGCGGCUGCCCUAUCCAUGUUCCAUGUCUCCACGCCACUGCCAGUGAUGACCGGUGGUUUCCUGAGCUGCGUCUUGGGCUUGGUGCUGCCCCUGGCCUAUGGCUUCCAGCCUGACCUGGUGCUGGUGGCGCUGGGGCCUGGCCAUGGCCUGCAGGGCCCCCACGCUGCACUCCUGGCUGCAAUGCUUCGGGGGCUGGCAGGGGGCCGAGUCCUGGCCCUCCUGGAGGAGGACUCCACACCCCAGCUAGCAGGGAUCCUGGCCCGGGUGCUGAAUGGAGAGGCACCUCCUAGCCUAGGCCCUUCCUCUGUGGCCUCCCCAGAGGACGUCCAGGCCCUGAUGUACCUGAGAGGGCAGCUGGAGCCUCAGUGGAAGAUGUUGCAGUGCCAUCCUCACCUGGUGGCUUGAAAUCGGCCAAGGUGGGAGCAUUUACACCGCAGAAAUGACACCGCACGCCAGCGCCCCGCGGCCGC
rnacentral:sRNA from 1 species